AGAAACAUCAAUUGGUUGCCUCUCCCACACACCCCAAGCCAGGAACCAGGCCCAUAGCCCUGGCAUGUAUCCUGACCAGGAACCAAGGUGGCAACACUUUGCUUUGUGAGACUACUCUCAACUAACUGAGCCACACUGGCCAGGGCAUGUUUAGCUUUCUGUGGUAUUUUUCUUUUGUUUAUUUUACAGUUGUCUGUUUUAAUCAGGAUCUAAAUCAGUCCAUACAUUGCAUUUGGCUGAUGUAUCUCUUAAGGUUUUCUGAAUCUCAGAAUUUUCACUUUUGGGAUUAAUAAUUGAUUAGACUUACUUUUAUAUGUACAAUUUAACUUUAGAGAUUUCAGAAAGUAGCCAUAUAUAAGAAUUAAAUAUAUGAGAAAGUACUUAUCUAGUUUUUUUUUUUAGUCCCCCACACAAAUGUAUGAAUGAUCUAAAUAACUGGUUUGCAAUAGUAAUCAGUCAAUUUGCUCAAUUGUAAAUAACAUCUGUAUAGUUGUUUUCUUAAUUUGCCCUGCACGUAUAGUCUUAGAAAGUAAAUAUUAUCCUGGUUAAUCUAUCUUGGUUAGGAAAACAGGUCACAAAAAUGAAAUGAUUGGUAAUUUACCAUAGAUCACCCUUAGGAACUAGUUGAAAAUUCAGAGCAUUUAAAUUUUUUUAUCAGAGCAAUAAAGAUAUUUCUGUCUUUCUUUGUACUACAGCCCCGUGUGAGUUUUCAAAUAGAUUACAAGUCACCUGAAGAUGAAAAUAUGAUUGGUAUAGGUCAGGAUAGGCUGUAUUAUUAGGUAGUGAGAAACAACCACAAAACCUCAGUUGUUUAAAACACCAAAUGUUUAUUCCUUGUUCUUCUUGCAUGUCCUUCAUGGUUGGAGGUACCUCUGCUCUUAAUAGACACUUAGGGAACUUACAGAGCCGUCACCAUUUCAAUCAUUGCUGAUUUUGCUGGGGGAGGGGGGGAGCCCUGGAAUGUAUUACAUCUGCAGUGAAAUCUUCUAGCUCAGAAGUCAUACAUCCAAUCACAAGGAGCUGUGAAGGUAGUCUUCUAUGUGCCUUAGAGGAACGAGCUAUUGGUGAGCAGUACAAAUAAAUAACUAAUGUAUUUGUAUUACACUUUAUGUAAUGAGUCUGUUACUGGACUGCUAACAGAUCUGUUCAUUUAUUUAUUCACUCACUCAUUUAUUCAUCUAAUACUUAUUGAAUGGCUGCCAUGUACAAGUUAUUUUACUAGAGAGUGAAAAUACUAAAGUGUAUAAAACAUGUUCCAUUCCUUCUCUCUAGGUUCUCAGAGUCCAGUAGAGACAAGAGGCAAGUAAUUCUAUAUUAGGGCUCAAAAAUAUCACCCAUAAGUCAUAUCUGGCUUGCAGCCUGUUUUUAUAGGAACCUUAAACUAAAAAUGCCUUAUAUUUUCAAAGGGUUGCAAAGGCAAGUGAACAAAGGAGGAAUAUACAUAACAGAGACUGUAAGUGGCCUGUGCAGCCUGAAAUAUUACUAUCUGGCCCUUUGUAGUAAGAAUCUUUGCUAACCUCUGAUCUGUAACAUCUGUCUUUAAAUUUGAAGCUCCUGAAAUGAGUCACCGUCUUACAGGGGUGUCCAACCUGCAGUCCACAUGCAGCCCAUGACGGCUGUGAAUGCAGUCCAACACAAAACCAUACAUUUACUUAAAACCUUUUUAUUUUUUUGGCUCACCAGUUUUCAUUAGUGUUUGUGUAUUUAAUGUGUGGCCCAAGACAACUCUUCUUCUAGUGUGUCCCAGAGACAUCAAGAUUCACCAAAAGGUUAGACACCCCUGGAUUGUCAGAAAAUGGCACACAGUUACCUUAUAAGCUGUGGACGUCACUUAAUAAUAUGCCUUUGUUUUACCUGAUAAUACCUUUCUCUGGAAAUAUAUGUAUUUUUUCCCUGUGUUAUUGGAAUGGUGAUUUUAUUGGCAUCUUGAGUGCUCUUGUUACUGGACAUUGGAGAUAUGGGUCCCUGUUCAAUUUGAUGCAUAUUUAGGUAGCCACAAGAUGAUCAGACUCCUAUAAUGUGUAUAUGCAGAUAUUAAGUAAUUAUUUGGGAAAAGCAAGUAAAGUGACGAUGAGGGUGUCUACUUCCUUAGAGAAAUAAGACCUAAACUUUCCAGACUUUAGAAAUCAAAGUCAGGGAAUGGAGUACACAUAAAAGUUUUUUGUUUUUUGUUUUUUUUUUAAUUUCUGGACUAUGGAUUGGGCUAUGCUGUUAAGGGUUAUAAUUUUAGAUAUUUCUUAAACUUAGUGAGAGGCUGUGGUUCAAAGUACAUGGGGUUCAAAGAAUAUAUGUCAAAUCCCUGAUAUGAAUGAGGCACUUGAGACAUAAGGACAAAUGAGAAUCACUCCUUGCACUCAAGUUCAAAAUGAAGAGGGUAUUCUGAUUCAGGUUGAGAGGAACAGGAUUGUUUGAAACAAAACUGAUUAUCUUAUUCCAAGGUAGUAUUUUG